AAAUAUGAGAACAUGAUGUUGGUUCAGAUUAAAUGCUAUGUAGAGGCAUAACACAUGCGAGUUAUAAUAUAAAUAUAUAUUUAGGUAUAUAAAUAUAGUAUAGCGUUCAGGUGAGUGAAAAUAUAUAUGAAAUAAAAUAAAUAUAUAAUCAGAUGUAGGUAUUAGAUUAAAAUCUAGCCAUAGAACUGGAGCCGAUGAUUAAGGUCAGAACGGUCACAAAAGGGAUAACCCUUUCUCUUAUUAAGAGCAGCAGUGAGGAAUAUUUGACAAUGGUCUAACGACUGAUCAAGCUAUCUACGAGAAGGAUAUUAAUAUUAUUACCGGGCAUAGCCCGGAUAUAAAUAAAUAAUAAAAGGUUAACAAUAAACUUCUAAUUAUGUAUAAUAAUGAUAUAUAUAAGAAAGAGUCCUGACCAAAACGUGUGCCAGCAGCUGCGGUUAGACAUGGUGGGCAAGCAUUAAUCAGAAAGGCUUAAAGAAUCAGUAGUACGGUUAAAAUAUUUUAACUAGAAUAAAUAAAAUAGGUUAUAUGAAAUAAUAUUUAAGGGAUGAAAUACUAUGAAAAUAUUAUAACAGCAAAGAAAUAACUGAAUAUUUAUUGACGUUGUGAGAUGAAGGCUACGUUUGCGACAUGGAUUCGAUACCCAUUUAGUCGUAGCAGUGAACUAUGAAUACUAUAAUAACUUAUUUAUAAGUUAAGAAUAAUUAAAAUGUAAAGUAUUCCGCCUGAAUAGUACGCUCGCAAGGGUGAAAUACAAGACAUUAGACGGUUGUAGUCUUAAGCAGUGGAACAUGUUGUUUAAUUGGAUGAUCCUCCUAAAACCUUACCAUCUCUUGAAUUAUUAACAGGCGUUACAUCGUUGUCGUCAGUUCAUGCCAUGAGGUAUUAUAUUAAGUUAUAUAAUGAACACAAUCCUUAAUAAUAUAUUUAUAUAUUAUAAAGUAUUUUUUACAAAUAAUAGGAAGUCAAGGGCGAAGACUAAUCAUGAUGACCCUAAUGAGAUGGGCUAUAGACGUGUUACGAUGUUAUUGACAAUUAUAUAAAUUUAUAUUUAAAUAUUUAUUAUUAUUAAACAAUAAGAUUAUGAUUUUUAUCUUUCAUGGAUUAUAGUUUGAAAUUCAACUAUAUGAAGGAGGAAUUGCCAGUAAUCGUAAACUAGAGAGUUACGGUGAAAUUUAAUACUACUUCGUACUAACCACUCAUCAACAGCAAGAAAUUUUUACUUUCCUGAAAAGUUUAUUUUUAGGUUCGUUUAUAAGUGACCUGUUGUAAGUUGAAAUACGGUUCGGUUAGGGGAACCUGAUCGGGAUUUAUUACUUUU
rnacentral:rRNA from 1 species